ncrna:unclassified sequences skipping-rope RNA
GGUUGUUGAGGUCGGAAAGGGUUCCCGACACACCUUAUAUAAGGUACCUGAGAUGUAGGAUACACCGCCCUACCAAUAACC